GGUCCCUAUGUGAGUAUACUAGUAUAUAUGAGAAUGAAUCUAAUCCGUAGGAUUAGAUGAAAUUCAAGGGCUAAGAUUAACUUACCACCUACCAAGUAAUAAAAGGAAGACGUUUCUCUCUCUAAAACUAAUAUCAGACGUUCACUCUUUUCCCUCUCUGUAAAAUUCAACCUUCUUCCUCUCUCUCUCACCAUUUUCUCUCUCCUCAAAAACUGCCAUUAAAGCUUAAAAAAAUGCCGAUGAAGCUUCUAUUCACUCGAUUAUUCGUUGAUUUCAAGUAGUUUAUCGUCGAAUUCUUGUAUAUUUCUUCAUUUCUUCUACAAUUUUCGUCAAUUUUAACCUAUUUUUUUUGAGUUCGGAUACAAUUGAAGAUGAAGAAGCAGAAAAUUCACAAAAAUUAGGCCGAAAACCUAGGAACGGAGAAGGAAAAAUAUGAAAAGUGGAGAUGAAAUUGCAUAAAAGAAAAUCGACGAAAAACAAAAAUUCAGAUUCAGGAGAUCGAGAAGAAUCGUAGAGAAAAUUCAUAUGACGAAAAUGAGAUUAAACGAGUCAAACCAUCAGAGCCACAACGCACUAAUAGCCCCACUGCCGAACAAGCACUUCUGAAGGACAUCCUUGAAAAUGUUGGGUAAUAUUUUAUAAUCUCAAUUCUUUAGAACAUGAAGGUUCAACAUUUAGAACAUGAAGGUUCACUGUUUAGAACAAAAUUGUUUAAUGUUUAGAACAUGGAAGUUACUUUUUAGAACAUCAAAAUUGUUUAAUGUUUAGAGCAUGGAAGUUACUUUUUAGAAUUUUUUGCCCUUAUUUGAAGCAUGGCAUAUUGACCUUAUGUCAGACUGCUUGUAGGCUCU